GUUUUUGUAUUCAUCGUUUUGAACGCAGGUCAAAUUUUUAAAGCGCGUCUCUAGACAUGCAUUCUCGUUUUUGCGUUGCGCCGAGUCUACUUUUUCAUUUAUUUAUUUAUUUAUUUUAUUUAUUUUAGCGCAAGAACGCGUUCGAUCUGAACGGCCCCUUAAACAGAGACUAUGCUGGGAAACUUCAAACAUUGGAAGAUUUUCCCGCAAUUAAAAAUAAACAGGGUGGCACAGGCUCUCAAUGACAUCAAUGGAAAUGAAGGCCGUCCCAUGAACGCUUCGCCGCUGCGCACAUCGCAGGAGGGUGAGAGAUUGACGUCAGGUCAAAUGAAAAUAUGGCCAGAGAAUAAACCUGCUCUCCUGCUCUACCGGAAUACAUAGCUGUUUGAGGAUUAUCCGUAGAAAAGUGCGGAGAAAUCUGUGAUGGUGAUAAAAUGAUGGUUGGACGGAGAGACAGUCUGUUUAUGAAGGGAGCGUCUUCCUUCAGUGCGUGACGGUGAAAUAACAUAAACUUCUAAUAACACAAAUUGGUCACACAGAUAUGGCGAGUGAUCGGGUGGCCAUCCUUACGGAUGACGAGGAGGACCGGAAGAGGAAAUAUGUCCUAUCUGAACCAUUCAAUACCCUGUCCCUGUCCACCCCACCCAGUCAAACAGCACUCCCAGCCCCUACCAACACACUCCCUUCCCAACCCUCUCAGAAUAUGGGCUGCAUGGAGAGGUGCUGUGCACGAAUAGACAAUCAUCUCUUGAUAUCCAAGAUUUUCUACUUUUUCUUUUACUCUGCAUAUGGCUCCUUACACCCCUUGCUUGCCGUAUACUACAAGCAGCUGGGAAUGACACCCAGCCAGAGUGGCCUGCUAGUAGGGAUCCGUUAUUUCAUUGAGUUUUGCAGUGCGCCAUUCUGGGGCAUUGUGGCGGACCGCUACAAGAAAGGAAAGGCAGUUUUGCUAUUUUCUGUUUUCAGCUGGGUAGUGUUUAACUGCGGUAUUGGCUUUGUCAAGCCAGCAACUAUGAGCUGUGUCAUCAAGGACCCUACUAUGGCGCCACCAGCCAAUUUGACAAAUAAUACGCCAUCUGGCAACCAUACCAGACAACGAAGAUACUUGAUAGAAGGUUUAUACUCUGCAUAUGGACCUCACUCUAGACACAUUAGAAGUUUGAAUGUAAAUACCACAAAUGCUCCCAUUAGUAUGCCAUCUAACUUGACAACAGUGACACCCUUUACCUCUACGGUCACAUCAAAAUCUACCUCUACUACUGUAAUACAAACUACAAGUGCCAUCCUCAGAGAGUAUAUCAUAAUCUUCAAUAAGGAACAAGUAGACACUAUAUUCCUCUUGAUUCUGUUGGUGAUUAUUAUCGGCGAGUUCUUCAGUGCUCCAGCUGUGACUAUUGUGGAUACGGUCACACUUCAGUACCUGGGCCAGCACCGGGACCGUUAUGGACUCCAGAGGAUGUGGGGAUCUCUGGGCUGGGGUAUUGCAAUGUUGUCAGUGGGCAUAUGGAUUGACCACACGCACAUCACCAUCUUAAUCCAGGGCUCUGGUUGCAUCCUGCCCGACUACAAGAAUUACAUGAUUGCAUUUAUAGUUUUUGGAGUACUGAUGACCUCUGCCCUUAUUGUGGCCACUCAGUUUAACUUUGACAACAGGGUUUACCGGUCAGGUGAGGAGGAAGAUAAGAAGGAGGAUGUGGAAAUACCUCAAGUCGUUCAGGAGGUGACCCCUACCGAGUCUACUUCAGAUGAGGCACCUGUGUGUCCUGAAAGCAACCCCCAACAUUUUCCCUUUAAAGACUUGUUCCGGAUACUUUGUGGCAUCCGGUAUGGUACUGUUCUCUUUGUGGCCUGGUUCAUGGGGUUUGGUUAUGGCUUUGUGUUUACCUUCCUCUACUGGCAUCUGGAGGACCUGAAGGGUUCCACCACUCUCUUCGGCGUCUGUUCGGUGCUCAGCCAUUUGUCUGAGCUUGCCGCCUAUUUCACCAGCCACAAACUCAUUGAGCUAGUUGGACACAUCAGAGUCCUCUAUAUUGGGUUGGCCUGCAACACUGCACGCUAUCUGUACAUCUCCUACCUGGAGAACGCAUGGAUAGUUUUACCCAUGGAGGUGCUUCAAGGUUUGACCCAUGCUUCAGUGUGGGCGGCAUGCAUCUCGUAUUUGAGCGCAGCCGUCCCGCCAGCCCUGCGCACCUCGGCACAGGGGAUCCUGCAGGGUUUACAUCUGGGGUUAGGGAGAGGCUGUGGAGCAAUGCUUGGAGGAGUUUUUGUCAACUUUUUUGGUGCUGCAGAAACUUUCAGAGGCCUUGGAAUGGCCUCUCUGGUCACAUUAUUCAUCUUUUCUCUAAUUCAGUGCUUGUUUGGUCAAAAUGAGGAUAAAAAGGGCACAAUGCUGGCUGAGAACAUCCCAGUACCGUCCAGCCCAGUGCCUAUUGCCACCAUUGACUUAGUGCAGAACCAGACUGAGUCUCAGACAAAUCCUGAAUCCAUGACGCCUCCAAGGAAGACCAAGCUCCAGGAAGAGCAGGAGGACACCAAUAAGCCUGCCUGGGUGGUGUCUGCUUCACCCUGGGUUACCAUUGCUUUUGCCCUCUAUCAGAUCAGAGACAUGGUCGCUAUGACGAAAAACAACAACUGCAUUGAAAAUGAACCCCCGCAGGUAGGGUGGCACCCUUUGUGAUUUGGGAUGUGAACCUAAGGAGGAGGUGAACGUUUCACUCUUGCUGUUUACGACUUAAUAACAUUUAUUUCAAUACUAUUUCCUGCUAAUUUUCUUAAUUCUAUCUGUAUUAAUUUGUCAUCUUGGCUUUUUGGUAACUGUUCUGAAUACCAAUAUGGAGACCCCAUGAAAUCAAAAUUACAGCUUUGAGGCCAUCUAAAUGUUACUGGAGUGGACGAAAUGAACUUUUAGCAGAUAGAUGCAUUUAAAAUUUGGGAAACCAGACCAAAAAUAUUGAUGACUCCUGUUGCACUACAGUUUUUGUCCCAUCAAAUGCUCUCUAGAAUGAGAAUAAACUCUUUCAUAUAUGUCAAUGCAGAAAAGAAAAUGAUCUCACUAAGCGAUUUAAUGGGGUCUUUAAAUAUCUUGUACUGAUGGCUAAUUAUAUGGCACAUUUUUACUAAUUUAUUAAUUCUUUCUCUUUGCAUUUAUGCUGUCAUUUUCUCAGAGGAAAGGAGACAUGUGAGCAAACCUCAGUAACGCCACCUGCUGAUUUAUCUACAUCAUCACAACCCAAUUCAUCAUGUCCAACAGAAUUUCCCUCCCCAUUCCAACCUGCUGCCAGUUUAUUUGUUCUUCAAAACACAGAUCUU